rnacentral:lncRNA from 1 species
UUACACGUGGCACCUGCAGUUGACAACUCAGCCUCCACCUGACACGUCAUCCAGGCAACAUGUUAGCAACCGGUCACAGGGGUCGAUUCGUUCACUUAUGUUGUUGGUUGAGGACCAAGUUGAGGUUUCUAAAUGAUAAAGGUGCGAUAUGUCUCACUUUAAAAUGUUCAGGGGCCGGAAAGGGUAUUUACCCUAUAAUUAAAGAAUAUUAAAACUCCAUAUUACUUUGGAGUAUCAAAUUACGUGCGCACUUCACACAUGUACAAACUCAGAUACAGUUAAUUCGUUAAUUUUAUGUGAAGUUGAUUGUUAAGAAUAGUUAAAUAAUUUGAUAAAUUUAACUAAAUUAUCAUCUAAUGCAGUUAAUUUCAUAUGAAAUUAAUAGUUGAGAAUUCGUUAAAUGAUUUGAUAAAUUUAACUAAAUUAUCAUUUAACAAUUCUUAACUAUCAACUUUAACUUUACAUGAAAUUAACUCCACUUGAGUUUCUAAUUAUACACACUCUUCGUUGCUCGUUAAUUUUUUGUUAAAUGGGUUAUUGUGUUUGGAACAGUAAAUUUUCGUUCUGCCAUUUUUAAGUGUUAGCCAUAUUUUUUACGCUUUUCUUUUGAAUGAUUGGAAUGCUUAAUAUUGUUAAGUGUUUUGAAGUGUCAACUGAACAUGGAUAAAUAAUCAGGUCGCGAACUCAUUGUUCUUUGUAAUUCCUAAUUGAGGGCGGUCUCCAAAGUCAUUUUUGCUAUUUGAAAAAAUUAAGAGUUAUUGAAUUUUUAUGUUCAUAGUGUUAAAUAAUGACAUCUGACAUUGAAUGUCCUUGUUGAAAAUUACAUAGUUAGAGGGUGUUCUAGUUGUUGAAUUGCACUGCCAUAAUCUGAAACUGUUUGUGCUUAUUUUUAUUGAAGUAUUUACAUGGAUAUGGUUACUUGAAAUGUGGAACUACCUUGGUUUGACGGUAAUAUAACAAGACAAUGAACUUUACAUUUGUUAUUGGCUCAUGUUGCUUUUAUAGUUUUAUUGCAUGCAGUUAUCAAAGGCAAUGCUAGACACUUGAGCAAUUGAAGCAAUUACCAUUUAUGAUAGAAGAUGUGUAACGUGUUAUGCAAGUUAGUUACAUAGAUGAUAGAAUAAUGAAAUGGGGGCCUUGCAAUGAGCAUGGUAUAAAAGAAUAAACAAUUGUCUACAACUGUGCACAAGUAUAAGUAUAAUUGACAAUGAUAGCAAAUUUCUCAGAUGAACUAGUGUAUACAAAAGAAAACACUAAAUCAUCUAUCUGGAUCUAAACAAGGAAUGAGUUAUGUAUACUGUAUAGAGCUGAAUACACAUUGAAACAUACCAAUACCAAUUGUCAAGGGUGCGUGUUAUUUUACCGAUUGCCCCUCCGUCCUGAAAUGAUUUGAAUUAAAUAAAUAUUUGUAUAUAUCUGAAACGACGUUAAUAAGAAAAAGAUGAAACCUGAAUAGAAUAGAAAAGAUUAGACGGGAAGGUUAACGACGUCGUUCUUAUAAGAAGGAGGGUUAUUGGGAGGGGGAUUGGAAGAGGAGGAAGUGGAUUUAGAGGUGGUGAAGGUGUGAUAAGAGGUGUCGUGAUCGUCGUCGUCGUCGUCGUCGGCAGUGGAGAGGUUGAUGCAGGAGCAGCGGACAAGGGUGUUUAAGAAGGCAGAGGCGAGGUUGGUUCCCAUGGCGUUCCAACAGGCUCCUUCUCCUUCCUUGGAAUCCGAAUUCUCCAU